AUACGGAGGAUGCGAGCGUUAUCCGGAUUUAUUGGGUUUAAAGGGUGCGUAGGCUGUGCGUUAAGUCAGGGGUGAAAUGCCGUCGCUCAACGACGGAGCUGCCCUUGAUACUGGCGUGCUGGAGUACGGAUGCCGUUGGAGGAAUGAGUGGUGUAGCGGUGAAUGCUUAGAUAUCACUCAGAACACCGAUUGCGAAGGCAUCUGACGAAUCCGUCACUGACGCUGAGGCACGAAAGCGUGGGGAUAGAACAGGAUUAGAUACCCUGGUAUUCCACGCCGUAAACGAUGAUGACUAACCGUCGGCGAUAGACAGCCGGUGGCCAAGCGAAAGCGAUAAGUCAUCCACCUGGGGAGUACGUCGGCAACGAUGAAACUCAAAUGAAUUGACGGGG
rnacentral:rRNA from 1 species